GACAGAGGGUGCAAACGUUGUUCGGAAUUACUGGGCGUAAAGCGUGUGUAGGCGGUCCACUAAGUCGGGUGUGAAAGCCCUGGGCUCAACCCAGGAAGUGCACUCGAAACUGGCGGGCUUGAGUAUCGGAGAGGUUGGUGGAAUUCUCGGUGUAGAGGUGAAAUUCGUAGAUAUCGAGAGGAACACCGGUGGCGAAGGCGGCCAACUGGACGAAUACUGACGCUGAGACACGAAAGCGUGGGGAGCAAACAGG
rnacentral:rRNA from 1 species